rnacentral:rRNA from 1 species
AACGAACGCUGGCGGCAGGCUUAACACAUGCAAGUCGAACGGGUGUAGCAAUACAUCAGUGGCAGACGGGUGAGUAACACGUGGGAACCUUCCUAGGGGUACGGAACAACUCAGGGAAACUUGAGCUAAUACCGUAUACGUCCGUGAGGAGAAAGAUUUAUCGCCCUUAGACGGGCCCGCGUCGGAUUAGGUAGUUGGUGGGGUAACGGCCUACCAAGCCUACGAUCCGUAGCUGAUCUUAGAGGAUGAUCAGCCACACUGGGACUGAGACACGGCCCAGACUCCUACGGGAGGCAGCAGUGGGGAAUCUUGGACAAUGGGCGCAAGCCUGAUCCAGCCAUGCCGCGUGAGUGAAGAAGGCCUUAGGGUUGUAAAGCUCUUUUACCAGGGACGAUAAUGACGGUACCUGGAGAAUAAGCCCCGGCAAACUUCGUGCCAGCAGCCGCGGUAAUAC